rnacentral:rRNA from 1 species
AUUGAACGCUGGCGGCAAGCCUAACACAUGCAAGUCGAACGAGUGGCGGACGGGUGAGUAAUGUAUGGGAAACUGCCUGAUGGAGGGGGAUAACUACUGGAAACGGUAGCUAAUACCGCAUACCAUCGGAUGUGCCCAGCUGGGAUUAGCGAGUAGGUGGGGUAAAGGCUCACCUAGGCGACGAUCCCUAGCUGGUCUGAGAGGAUGAGCAGCCAAACUGGAACUUAGACACGGUCCAGACGCCUACGGGAGGCAGCAGGGGGGAAUAUUGCACAAUGGGCGCAAGCCUGAUCCAGCCAUGCCGCGUGUGUGAAGAAGGUCUUCGGAUUGUAAAGCACUUUAAGUGGGGAGGCGUUACCCGCAGAAGAAGCACCGGCUAACUCCGUGCCAGCAGCGGCGGUAAUUC